CGGAGGGGGCGAGCAUUGUUCGGAAUUAUUGGGCGUAAAGGGCAUGUAGGCGGUUCGGUAAGUUAAAGGUGAAAUGCCAGGGCUUAACCCUGGAGCUGCUUUUAAUACUGCCAGACUAGAGACCGGGAGAGGAUAGCGGAAUUCCUAGUGUAGAGGUGAAAUUCGUAGAUAUUA
rnacentral:rRNA from 1 species